AAAAACCUUUUGGAUGGUGCUUUGGCCUGGUACCAUCAACUUUCUCUUGUCACUUGGCACAAAAUGUUUCUUUCCUUUCUCACGAGCCUUCUUGCACCUCAUGCGUCAGAGAAAAGAAGGUAAAGAUUACUGGAUCGUAAUCGUAUGCCAGAGGGUCAUUGAACCUUUUAAGCAAAAUGAGGAGAUGCGUCUUUAUGGGACCUCGUUAGGAGGUGAAAGUUAAUAAAGACAGAAAGGGAAAAAAAGCUACUGGGAAAAGGCAAAUAUCUUCAAAAGCUGUCCAAGGAAGUCAUCCUAUUGGGAUCUCUGUUAGUACUAUUUGGGAUUUUCCAAGAAAUACUGUGUGGAGGUCUCUGUGAGAGUCCCUUGGUGAGAGCUGGAAGUGCCCUAGAGAAGCCAAGAGGCAGAUGUCCCUGUGACGCCUCCUUAGCUGUGGAGACAGGAGGAGCCAGGGGACAGCAAGUAGCUUGACCUGCAGCUUGCAUUGUGUAGAGUAAGCAGAAGCUGGGAAAUCAGUAGAAAUGUGCUUGCUGGGUCCUUCUCUCUCAAUGCUACCUGGGAACCAGAUGACAGAGGAGGGAUGCCUACCCAUUGCCUUGCCUGUGUUGAAGAUCUGGAGCCCAGCAUG
rnacentral:lncRNA from 1 species